CCCGCGGGGAUAGACCUUGUCCCCGAGGGAGCUUCGUGGUCUAGAGGGCUCCCGGGCCAGCCUCUUUGAGUGCUCAGAUAAAAACACUUCUGCGAACACUGUGCUCCCUUCCGCCUCUGCGGCAGCACCAGCCCAGCCUUCCCCAAAGCUGCCAGCCCGCUGCUCUGGGCUCCAGACACCGUGUACUUCACUGUCUCAGCAAGAAUCUCCUCCCUGAAUUAUGGCUCAGUAGAGAUCGAACCCAAGCUGAAACCUUUAGCUCUUCAUAAAGAUUUUAUUUUUCUCUCUCUCUGUCAAAACUGGUGGCAGAACCAUUUGGUUGGACUGUGGUUUCAGUUUUAGAUGCUUCAUUUUCUGACGUGGGGCACACUGGUGAGGGCGUUUGACUUCAAAUUGUUGUGGGAGUAAGCGGGAGAACGGGUGUGUGAGACCGACUGGAGAGUGCUCGGGAGGCUGGGCACUGUCUCAGGAGAGAGCUGCUCCAGGAGACUCCAGCAUUGAUCCCUCGAGUACCAUGUCCUGUCCUUGAGAAGGAGGGCUCUUGGGAAGAAUUCAAAAAAUCUGCCUUAAACGGAUGCACCAAAGAAAUCCCUUUAUAUUAUGUGAAAAAAGGCGGGGGUGCUGUGGCUGCCUGUGCCAGGAGCCUUCUGGCAGCACCAUGGGCAGGUGGGCUCUGCCAGCCUGGCACUGCUGCAGCAACCAGGAAAUAGAACUGGCUGAUUUAUAAUCCCUGAAGAAUUGCCUGGGAUUCUUCAUGCCUCCCCUCAGUACAGAGCUGCUGCCUGUGGUGAAAUGUUCACCUCCUCUCAUCACAACACCAGCCAAGGUUUGGGGUGAGAGCCUGUGUGGGGACCAUGCUCCACUGCCCCUAUCACUGCCAGGGAGCUCCAGCCAGUGCCCUCUGUGCUGCAGCCCACUGGACCUCAGAGCCAGCUGCUCCAGGGAAUGCUGAAAUGAGACUGGGAAUAACAAGGCUGGGCAGAUUUCAGCCACACUGCAAAGUUGCUGCUGGUGUGCCUACACUGGGAUUGUUUGUUUUCCUGCUGGCAUGGCUCAUUUUGGUCCUGGAAUCCUGUCACUGUGCUGCUUCUGGCACAGCUGGAGCUGUUGCUUUGUUUUUCUGCUAGCACAGCCCCAGCAGUCAGAAGGUAAAUAAAUCCCUUGGCCAUAGGCACAGAAUAAGCACAGUGCAAAGUGCAAGAGACCUUUUUCGGCAUGAUGGAGCUGCAGCAGGUGUUGGGCUCUGCUCCCUGUGGGCCUUGGCCAGAGCCAGAGACUGGUUAGGAACAGAGGAGGCCCCACUCAAACGCUCAAGUUUGGUGAGUCAGGAAUGAGGAAGUGUCCCAGCUCACGUUGAGAAAGAUUUUCAGUGCCCUAGGUUUCUGCUGCUCCUGAUCCCCUGUACUUUCCACCUAUUUCAACAUCCUGCAUUAAUGAAGGAAGUAGAACUAACUGAAAACAUAAUCCCCUACACCAUGCAUCAUCUGCUGCAAACCUUCAAUAGCUGCUGAAAACAUCCUGUUUUUUUCUAUGAAGCUGUUCUGGGAUUUAAGAAAUCCCCCGGUGAGGAUUGUGCAAUCCGAGUUCAAAGCUCGAUGACUCAGGGGUAGCAGCAAGCAGGGUGGUGCUGGUUGGAAGGUUUACCCAGUCUCUCCUCAAUCUUGACAGAUCCUUGGUACAGUAACAAAGCAACUGUGAAUUUGUGAAGUGAAAAGCUACAAACAAGAAUAAAACCCUACCAAACCCUCAAA